ACUGACCGGAUCAGCGUGUGCUCUCCUUGGCGACAGGGUCCCGGGAGACCCCGUUGUACCCCCGGUCGUGCUAGGGAUAGGGAAUUGCAAUUAUUUCCCUUGAACGAGGAUUCUCAGUAAGCGCGAGUCAUUAGCUCGCGUUGAUUACGUCCCUGCCCUUUGUACACACCGCCCGUCGCUACUACCGAUUGAAUGGUUUAGUGAGGUCCUCCGAUUGGACCCGGUCCGGGCGGCGACGUCCGAGCCGGCGUCCGAGAAGACGAUCUAACUUGAUCAUUUAGAGGAAGUAAAAGUCGUAACAAGGUUUCCGUAGGUGAACCUGCGGAAGGAUCAUUA
rnacentral:ncRNA from 1 species